GUCUCAGUUCGGAUUGUAGGCUGAAACUCGCCUACAUGAAGCUGGAGUUGCUAGUAAUCGCGAAUCAGCAUGUCGCGGUGAAUACGUUCCCGGGCCUUGUACACACCGCCCGUCACACCAUGGGAGUCAGCAACGCCCGAAGUCAGUGACCUAACCGAGAGGGAGGAGCUGCCGAAGGCGGGGCCGGUAACUGGGGUGAAGUCGUAACAAGGUACC
rnacentral:rRNA from 1 species